rnacentral:lncRNA from 1 species
CUAAGCGGGGUUAGCGAACCUCUACAACAACAACAACAACAACAACAACAACAACAACAACAAAUCAUACAAGACACAUAUAGACGUGCUCACAGAAACUACAAAAAUAACGCACAGGAAAUUUCGCUCAAAUAUUUCUGGCCGAAUAUACGUGACGCUUGUAAAAAGGAAGUACAGGACUGCGAAAUCUGCCUCGCAAACAAUUAUGAACGCCGACCAAAUAAACAACCAAUAGGUUCAGCACCAGUACCGAACAAGUUCAACCUACAAAUACUCAAAAUUCUGCUACUUGAGACAAAUACCAUCAAAGAAGGACACAUACAAAUACAUCGACGAGAUACUAUCACAAAUAUACCCUAACGCAAAGUUUGUAAUGACUGAUAACGAGUCAACAUUUACUGGCAUAUGUGCACAACAAAUUUAUAAGCGACUACAAAUAACGCAUACCAAAACCACAGCCUAUCAUUCAACAACAAACGGUCAAGUUGAACGGACGCAUAGCACUAUGAUUGAACUCGCAAAAGUUUUGGCCCACCAACACAGUUCCUGAUGAAACAGAUAUUUGAAGCAGUUCGACAGUACAACAAAACUAUCCAUUCGGUAACCAACGAGAAACCCGAGGACGUGUUUUUCAAUCAAAGGGGGUAUGCUGACAUCAAAUAGCGUCUUCAACAAAACCAAGAGAGAGUUUUGCGAUACCACAACCGCAAUCGCAAACAACUAAACUACAAAGAAGGAGAGGUAAUAUAUUCAAAGACCAAUAGACGGAACAAAAACGUAAAAAAAUACGCGAGACAUAUAGUCAAAAAAGACAACGGCGAAACAGUAACGACAAAUAAAAGAGUAAUUAUCCAUAAGGACAAUAUUAGAGUAAAGGCAUGUGCUGAAUAGUGUUUACCUUACUUUUCUCUAUCGCACUUUGCGACAAUGUAAUAGAUUUGACUAAUAGGAAAUAUGUUCUAGUGGAAACCGACCCUGUUUACAUUUAUCAGGAUACAGCUUUCCUGUAUCACAAAUACUAGCGCCAUACGAAAGUAUAAUGAAAUCAUCAUAUAAUCUAGAAAACCAACCUGAAACUCAAAUUUUAGUGAACAAAAUCGGAACUCUAAAAAAAUCAACUAAUUCCAAAAGUUCAUCACUGGUACACCAGACCACGAUGACCUUGUAGAAAUAAAAACUUCACUUAAUAAGCUAAUAGAAAAUAAUAACAAGAAAAGAACAAUUAACUCACAGUUCGAAAGAAUACUCGAAACCCUUGACCCCAAAACAAUGACCGAAAACAUUGUUAUAUCAGAAGUUUAUAAUGAACUCCAAUCAAUAACAAACACUAUAAAUUUUGCGAAAACUAAUAAUUUUUAUUCUAGCACAUUAAAUUUGAAGGAUGUGUACGAUUUAACAAGCCACGAAAAACUACAAUAGAUCUUCCAAUAAUUAAUAUAUUAGAAUAUGCCGACAUCCAUAUCUGUUACCGACAAGAAGCAAUUAUAACAAUAUACAAAUAUCCUACCCUCGAAACUAAAUGUAGCCUAUUUAAUGUAUAUCCUUUAGCACAUAAGCACGGUAAAAUUAAUUUAGACCCUAAGAUCGCAAAAUAUACAUAUAUCAAAGAAUAUCCAAAUGUAGAAAUUAUAUGUGUAACUUUAUUUGUAAGUCCGAACCCUCUCACAUUUGUACUAUGAAAAUAUUAGAAGGCAAAUCAGCACAAUGCAAAACAAUCCAUGAGAAUAAUGUCCCACUCCGCAUCUUAGAGACUGGAUACAUUUUUACAGAUUACUAGCACAUUUGGAACAACAUACAUAUAUCAGGCCCUAAAUUAAUACACUUUAAUGAAUCUUCAACCAUCGAUAAUAUCACAUAUUACAAUCAUCAACGACAACUGAGAGAAAUCAUGCAUAAUCAACAUAGCGAACAUCUUGAAGUACUCCGCAUCCUUUCCUCAAACUCAAUCUACAAAUUCAGCAAUAUCCAAAAACUCUCAACAUUUUUGAUACCUAUUGAAGAAAACCCAGUAAAUUAUACGUUCUUUAUCAUAGUGGGUUUCCUUACUUUAGUUGUUAUCACUUAUGGUAUGGUACAUCUCCUCCGAUACUAUGAAAAUAGAAGAAUGAUUCACAGACAAAGACAAAUUGACGAAUUAUACGAAAUCGAAAUGAAUCGUCUUCAACAGUAACUCGUAGCAGCAGCACAGCGAGGACGCUCCGUUUUAAGAGGGAGGAGAGUUAUCGGCGUUAGUACUAAGUUACAUACGUAUGUAUAUACAUAUAUACAUAAGCAUUGUCUAUACCGACAAACAACCUUUAACCUUGUAUGAUAACAUAGUGACAAAGAGAAUAUUAUAGAAUACAUAAACAAGCAUAUUAUUUAAGUAACAAAGCACCCAAAUUGUAAACAGCAUCAAAACAAUAAAACUUGUUUUGACGUACUUUAUCAUGAACAUGCAGAAUAAGCAAUAACAACCAAAAUUGUUAUCUAUUAGUAAACAGAUAACAACCGACGCAUAUAAAUAGUAUAAAUAUAACUAAGAUUAAUGUAAACUAGUUAGUCUUAAGAAUAUGAAUAAAGAUCACGCAUUUCAGCGUAGUGAAAAA